UACGAAGGGUGCUAGCGUUGCUCGGAAUCACUGGGCGUAAAGCGCACGUAGGCGGAUUUCUAAAUCAGGGGUGAAAUCCUGGAGCUCAACUCCAGAACUGCCUUUGAUACUGGGAAUCUCGAGUCCGGGAGAGGUGAGUGGAACUGCGAGUGUAGAGGUGAAAUUCGUAGAUAUUCGCAAGAACACCAGUGGCGAAGGCGGCUCACUGGCCCGGUACUGACGCUGAGGUGCGAAAGCGUGGGGAGCAAACAGG
rnacentral:rRNA from 1 species